UGUUUGGAAAGAGUUCCAGCUUCAUCACGGAGUUUCUCUCGGUUUGUGGGCUCAUCUAAAGCUGAUCAGCAGGAGGAGAAGAGUCUGACGGAGCACCAGACGAACAUUUUCAACCAUUUGGACUCAGCUCAGCUGCUACAGUGGACAAAAAUGUCAUCAACACAAAAGGACCAACAUGGAGCGAGAAGCGAGAAGCGCUUUAAGGAGGCCGACAAACCUCACAGAAGAA